rnacentral:tRNA from 1 species
UCCCUAGUGGUCCAGUGGUUAAGACUCUGUGCUCCCAAUGCAGUGGGCAUGGGUUCAAUCCCUGCCCAGGGAA